CAAUUAUGUGAGGUUAUAAAUAGCUGUUUGGAUCUUUUCAUAAUCGAGCAUAUCAACGACGUUCAUCGAUACGUAGCGCACUCUUCAUAUUCAACAGUGAUUCCGGGAAACAUAUUUGACGGAAGCAUCAAAGUUGGAAACGUUGAUUCGGGAAUCUCGUUCGUAGAAGCUGCUCUGUAAUUAACUGAAAUGCAGAAUGGGGACCAAUUUAAAGAAAAAAUGCAUCGAAACAUUAAUAAAGAAAACAGCAUCUCCUGUGAGCACAUUAAAAUUGAAUGUGGAGGAGGGUAUCUUUGUCAGAAUAAUUGAAUGAAUUGUUAAAUACGCAGACGCGAUACGAAAAUAGAAACGAAGUCAAACCUCCAGGCUUUCUAUUUUUUCAAUCGGAUAUGGUACGUCCAUUACAUCGGCGCUGCCAGUUACGAACGGGUAGAGACAGAAGUAUUUUUAGACAACAGAAAUGUUCUUUUUCCACGGUACGAAUAGAUAAUUGUCGCGACCUUAUUGCCAAGCAUCGAUCCUAUUCUGAUGCCUAUCUAUCGAGGCAAAUUAAAUGAGAAAGUAAACGACGAACAGCAUGAUUUCGAACCACGUGGGAACUGGGUUAUAACGACCACCAAGGGACCGACGAAAUUUACUCGAUAUAACAGUCGCAUACAUGCUAUAUCAGCGACGAGUUAAAGAGGGUAUCUUCUUUUGGCGAAUGAGAAACAAUUGAUUCACUUUUAACGACUUAAAUUUAUCCAAAUUUAUAUGAAGUUGGAUGAAAUAGAUAAAUAAGAAGUUGAAAUAGAAGAAUAAAAAGUUGAGUCAAAUAAAAAAAAGACUGUUAUUGGUAAAAUGUUAUAAUAGUUUACCAAUGUAAAAUGUAACGAACCAAGAGGUGCUAUAGUCUAAAUUGUAAUGACUCAAGUCUUAAGAUUAAAAGUCGUUACUUCGAUAUCAAUGUGCCAUCUUUACAGUGUAUUAAAAAUAAAAA